rnacentral:tRNA from 1 species
GAGGGUAUAGCUCAGUGGUAGAGCACAUGCUUAGCAUGCAUGAGGUUCUGGAGUCAAUCCCCAGUACCUACA